rnacentral:rRNA from 1 species
GACGAACGCUGGCGGCGUGCUUAACACAUGCAAGUCGAACGGAAAGGCCCUGCUUUUGUGGGGUGCUCGAGUGGCGAACGGGUGAGUAACACGUGAGUAACCUGCCCUUGACUUUGGGAUAACUUCAGGAAACUGGGGCUAAUACCGGAUAGGAGCUCCUGCUGCAUGGUGGGGGUUGGAAAGUUUCGGCGGUUGGGGAUGGACUCGCGGCUUAUCAGCUUGUUGGUGGGGUAGUGGCUUACCAAGGCUUUGACGGGUAGCCGGCCUGAGAGGGUGACCGGGCAAAAUGGGGAUUGGGAUCGGCCCAGACUCCUACGGGGGGCCAGAGGGGGGAAAAUUGCAAAAUGGGGGGAAACCCGAUGCAGAAACGCCCGGGGGGGGAAUGGGGGCCUUGGGGUGGAAACCGGUUUUGCCUUUGAAGAAGGGGGGGGGACCGGAAAGGGGAAAAAAACCACGGGUAAAUAAGUG